AUUGAACGCUGGCGGCAGGCCUAACACAUGCAAGUCGAACGAGUGGCGGACGGGUGCGUAAUGUCUGGGAAACUGCCUGAUGGAGGGGGAUAACUACUGGAAACGGUAGCUAAUACCGCAUACCAUCGGAUGUGCCCAGAUGGGAUUAGCUAGUGGGGGGGGUAAAGGCUCACCUAGGCGACGAUCCCUAGCUGGUCUGAGAGGAUGACAAGCAACACUGGAACGUAGACACGGGCCAGAAUCCUACGGGAGGAAGCAGUGGGGAAUAUGGCACAAGGGGCGAAAGCCUGAUGCAGCAAUGCCGCGUGUAUGAAGAAGGCGUUCGGGUUGUAAAGUACGUUCAGCGGGGAGGCGUUACCCGAAGAAGAAGCACCGGCUAACUCCGUGCCAGCAGCCGCGGUAAUUC
rnacentral:rRNA from 1 species